rnacentral:ncRNA from 1 species
CUCUUAUCAAGAGAGGUGGAGGGGCUGGCCCGAUGAAACCUCGGCAACCGUCACGACAACCCAUUCGGUUGAGUGAAAUGGUGCCAAUUCCUGCGAGACUGCAAAGUCUUGACAGAUGAGAG